CGUAGGUGGCAAGCGUUGUCCGGAUUUAUUGGGUUUAAAGGGUGCGUAGGCGGCCUAUUAAGUCAGUUCUGAAAUAUCCCGGCUUAACCGGGAGGGUGGGAUUGAUACUGAUGGGCUUGAGUGGAGUCGAGGUAGGCGGAAUUGACGGUGUAGCGGUGAAAUGCUUAGAUAUCGUCAAGAACACCGAUAGUGUAGACAGCUUACUAGACUUCAACUGACGCUGAGGCACGAAAGUGUGGGGAUCAAACAGGAUUAGAUACCCUGGUAGUCCACACUGUAAACGUUGAUUACUCGCUGUGUGCGAUAUACAGUACGCGGCUUAGCGAAAGCGAUAAGUAAUCCACCUGGGGAGUACGCCGGCAACGGUG
rnacentral:rRNA from 1 species